rnacentral:rRNA from 1 species
AGCGAACGCUGGCGGCAGGCUUAACACAUGCAAGUCGAGCGGGCGUAGCAAUACGUUAGCGGCAGACGGGUGAGUAACGCGUGGGAACAUACCUUUUGGUUCGGAACAACACAGGGAAACUUGUGCUAAUACCGGAUAAGCCCUUACGGGGAAAGAUUUAUCGCCGAAAGAUUGGCCCGCGUCUGAUUAGCUAGUUGGUGAGGUAACGGCUCGACCAAGGCGACGAUCAGUAGCUGGCUGAGAGGAUGAUCAGCCACAUUGGGACUGAGACACGGGCCCAAACUCCUACGGGAGGCAGCAGUGGGAAUAUUGGACAAUGGGACGCAAGCCUGAUCCAGCCAUGCCGCGUGAGUGAUGAAGGCCCUAGGG